GACGAACGCUGGCGGCGUGCCUAAUACAUGCAAGUCGAACGCAGUGGGGACGGGUGAGUAACACGUGGGUAACCUCCCAUCAGAGGGGAUAACACUUGGAAACAGGUGCUAAACCGAUACUGAUGGAUGGACCCGCGGUGCAUUAGCUAGUUGGUGAGGUAACGGCUCACCUAGGCGACGAUGCCUAGCUGGUCUGAGAGGAGGACCGGCCACACUGGGACUGAGACACGGCCCAGACUCCUACGGGAGGCAGCAGUGGGGAAUAUUGGGCAAUGGGCGAAAGCCUGAUGCAGCAAUGCCGCGUGUGUGAAGAAGGUCUUCGGAUUGUAAAGUACUGUCGGCGGGGAAGCGUUAUCCAAAGAGGAAGCACCGGCUAACUCCGUGCCAGCAGCCGCGGUAAUUC
rnacentral:rRNA from 1 species